rnacentral:tRNA from 1 species
GCCCGUGUGGAUCAAUCGGAUCGCGCACUGGACUCAUAAUCCAGAGGUUGCUGGUUAGAAUCCAGCGGUGGACG